UUGCUCUUCAACGAGGAAUGCCUAGUAAGCGCGUGUCAUCAGCAUGCGUUGAUUACGUCCCUGCCCUUUGUACACACCGCCCGUCGCUACUACCGAUUGAAUGGCUCAGUGAGGCCUUCGGACUGGCUCGAGGAGGUUGGCAACGACCACCCCGAGCCGGAAAGUUCGUCAAACUCGGUCAUUUAGAGGAAGUAAAAGUCGUAACAAGGUUUCCGUAGGUGAACCUGCGGAAGGAUCAUUAACUAUAUGAGGGGAGGGCUGGGCUUCGGCCUGCCCCUCUCUGACUAUUCUACCCGUGUCUUUUGCGUACUAUUUGUUUCCUCGGUGGGCUUGCCCGCCGAUAGGACACUAUAAAAACCUUUUGUAAUUGCAGUCAGCGUCAGUAAAAACUUAAUAGUUACAACUUUCAACAACGGAUCUCUUGGUUCUGGCAUCGAUGAAGAACGCAGCGAAAUGCGAUAAGUAGUGUGAAUUGCAGAAUUCAGUGAAUCAUCGAAUCUUUGAACGCACAUUGCGCCCCUUGGUAUUCCAUGGGGCAUGCCUGUUCGAGCGUCAUUUGUACCCUCAAGCUUUGCUUGGUGUUGGGCGUCUUGUCCCGCGUUUGCGUGUGGACUCGCCUUAAAGCGAUUGGCAGCCGGCAUAUUGGCCUUGGAGCGCAGCACAAUUUGCGUUUCUAGUCAUGAAUGUUGGCGUCCAUUAAGCCUAUAACAUUUGCUCUUGACCUCGGAUCAGGUAGGGAUACCCGCUGAACUUAAGCAUAUCAAUAAGCGGAGGA
rnacentral:rRNA from 1 species